rnacentral:rRNA from 1 species
CCUACGGGAGGCAGCAGUGAGGAAUAUUGGUCAAUGGGCGCGAGCCUGAACCAGCCAAGUAGCGUGAAGGAUGACUGCCCUACGGGUUGUAAACUUCUUUUAUAAAGGAAUAAAGUGAGGCACGUGUCCCGUUUUGUAUGUACCUUAUGAAUAAGGAUCGGCUAACUCCGUGCCAGCAGCCGCGGUAAUACGGAGGAUCCGAGCGUUAUCCGGAUUUAUUGGGUUUAAAGGGUGCGUAGGCGGGUUUUUAAGUCAGUGGUGAAAGUCUGUGGCUCAACCGUAGAAUUGCCAUUGAUACUGGCAGCCUUGAGUAUGUUUGAGGCAGGCGGAAUUCGUGGUGUAGCGGUGAAAUGCUUAGAUAUCACGAAGAACUCCGAUUGCGAAGGCAGCCUACCAAGC